rnacentral:rRNA from 1 species
GAAUUUUGGACAAUGGGGGCAACCCUGAUCCAGCCAUCCCGCGCGUGCGAUGAAGGCCUUCGGGUUGUAAAGCACUUUUGGCAGGGAAGAAAAGGCUCUGGCUAAUACCUGGAACUGCUGACGGUACCUGCCGACUAAGCACCGGCCAACUACGUGCCAGCAGCCGCGUUAAUACGUAGGGUGCAAGCGUUAAUCGGAAUUACUGGGCGUAAAGCGUGCGCAGGCGGUUUGGCAAGAAGGAUGUGAAAUCCCAGGGCUUAACCGUGGAACUGCAUUCUUAACUGCCAGGCUAGAGUAUGUCAGAGGGGGGUAGAAUUCCGCGUGUAGCAGUGAAAUGCGUAGAGAUGCGGAGGAAUACCGAUGGCGAAGGCAGCCCCCUGGGAUAAUACUGACGCUCAUGCACGAAAGCGUGGGGAGCAAAC